rnacentral:tRNA from 1 species
AAAUAAGAAGCAAUUUUGUGCAUUUAAUUUCGACUUAAAAGAUAGAGUUUUAUACUCCUUAUUUA